rnacentral:rRNA from 1 species
GAUGAACGCUAGCUACAGGCUUAACACAUGCAAGUCGAGGGGUAACGAGAGGAAAGCUUGCUUUCCUUGUCGACGACCGGCGCACGGGUGAGUAACGCGUAUCCAACCUGCCCCCAACUAAGGAAUAACCUUGCGAAAGUAAGACUAAUACCUUAUAAUUUCCUCAGAUGUCAUCUGACGAGGAAUAAAGAUUUAUCGGUUGUGGAUGGGGAUGCGUCUGAUUAGCUUGUUGGCGGGGUAACGGCCCACCAAGGCAACGAUCAGUAGGGGUUCUGAGAGGAAGGUCCCCCACAUUGGGACUGAGACACGGUCCAAACUCCUACGGGAGGCAGCAGUGAGGAAUAUUGGUCAAUGGGCGGAAGCCUGAACCAGCCAAGUAGCGUGCAGGAUGACGGCCCUAUGGGUUGUAAACUGCUUUUAUACAGGAAUAAAGUUAGCCACGUGUGGUUAUUUGUAGGUACUGUAUGAAUAAGGACCGGCUAAUUCCGUGCCAGCCGCCGCAGUAA